rnacentral:rRNA from 1 species
UACGGGGGGGGCAAGCGUUGUUCGGAAUUACUGGGCGUAAAGGGCGCGUAGGCGGGCUGCCGCGUCCGGGGUGGAAAUCCUCCGGCUCAACCGGGGAAGGGCCUCGGAUACGGGCGGCCUGGAGUGGGGUAGGGGCGUGCGGAACUGUGGGUGGAGCGGUGAAAUGCGUUGAGAUCCACAGGAACUCCGGUGGCGAAGGCGGCACGCUGGACCCUUUCUGACGCUGAGGCGCGAAAGCCAGGGGAGCGAACGGG